CUCGCGAUAAUACAGAUCCAAAAUGGUGAACUCGUGAAGUGCCAGUGUCUCAAACGCUACUUUCCUCGUUGUCUUCAAACAAUAUAUUUUAUUGGUUAAUGUACAAUUAUAUACCAAUCUUUCGUGAAGGCUCGUUGUAAAUAGUCUAUGUCUGAACUACAGAGACUGCUGUCCACCGGAUCUCCCCUGCCUGUUGACAGCAGUGUGGCAGGGAUGUCUGCCGGAAUCGCCGAAUGUAAUCCGACCCCACAACCGCUAGCAUCUACCAACACGCAAGGAACCAUUUUGCCCUGUUCAUUCCGUGGCUGCAAGCAGACCUUCUCAAACAUGCAGCAGCUGUCCAGCCACGUGGAGAGCCACAAGAUCCCCAAGCAGUCCCUUCCAGGGAAGGCAUUUCGUUGCUCAGCCCUGGGCUGCAGUGGUACUUUUCCCAGCAUGCAACACCUGAUGGAGCACAUGAGGCACCACUACAAGCCUAACCAUUAUUUCCUGUGCGAGAGCUGCAGAGCCAAGCUGCGGUCUUACCGCGCUCUCUUCAAACACCUCCACACUUGCGCCAAGGUGGCCAAGAGCAAGGCUGCCCGGGAGGAAAUUACAUCUCCCGGCGCCAUGACGAUGACGGAAACGGCCGAGACCGCUCUCGCGUACGAAGCCGCGGCUCCUGCCGGUACUUCCGCCAGCAUCCAGACCCCCAUGAAGGAAGAGCCCAUGGAGUUAGAGCCCGCCCCCACAGCCGCCGAGUCCGGCAUUUCCAACCGUGCUCCGCCCCUCGCAAGCCUCCAGGCUACCGUCAACAGGCUUCCCCAGGAAGCCCCGCUAGCUCCGCCCACCCCCGUCUCCCCUACCUCCCCCCCGGCCCCUGCCACACCUCCUGCCCUGCCCCCCGGCCCCUUCUCUCUCAUGGAGACCGCGGCGUUCACCGCGGAGCCCCUGCAGCCCGGACCGCCCCCCGGCUCCAUCAUCCCUUCCGCCACGCCCCCCUCCCCCCUGCCUUACUCUCCCCUUGCGUCCUCCUCUCCUCCCACCCCAGCCGCCCCCGGGCAGCGCCCGGGCCGACCCGUCGCCCCCGCCUCCCCAGCUCCACCCACCCCGCCGGGCUCGAACGCUGUCUGGAAGAAGAACCAAGACGCGCCCGGGCCCCUAUUGCUCAGAAGGAACAGUCAUCCCAGCAGUCAGAGUAUAAGUGCAGGUGAAGUCCAGGGCAAUCUUUCAGCAGCCGCAUUCUCUGGGAGCACACCAGAGGGCGCUACAGCUGCCUACAGUGUGGCCACUCCACCCCCACUCGGCAGGAGAUGACCGCCCACAUUGAGGGCCAGCACAGGAGCCCGGCUGGGCGAGCACAGACUGACCCGGAUAACAGAGGUUCUCCUCCAUUCCAACCAAAGAUAUCAUUGGAAACAGAGACUGCUGUCUAUACCCAGCUCUGAUUGAAUUUGUCCACUGGGCAAAAUUUUCAUCUGACCUGUUGUAAAUGUCUGGGAAGGUAGAAUGGCUAAUGUGAAUGUUGAUGGGUUUAAUCUCUCUUAGAAAUCCCUUGAAAGGCAACAUUGAUCAACGUUUCUCAUGCAGGAAAUUCACAAAUGUCUCUUCUGUGUAUUCACAAGCUUCUAUAUUACUGGCUUUUAGCGAAUGCUAUUAUCCAGAGCGAUUUACACAGCUUUGGCAUUUUGUCUCAGUAUCCAUUUAAUAUAGCUUGGUAUAUACUGAAGAAAUUCAGGUUGAGUACCUUGGUCCAGGGUACAACGGCUGAAUGCUAAAUGAGAGUCAAACCUGCAACCUUCAGGUUCCAUGCCUGGCUGUACUCCUUAUAUCCAUCACAUUUUUAUUCUAUGCCAUUUUGAAGCAACUGGGAAUAUUUCAAAAAUACGGCACAAGUCUGCUCAGCUGAAGGUCAUGGACCGAAACGUCGAAAGCAGUACAAUUGGGAAGAAACUAUGUGGGAGCAUUUCUUCAUUCUGUUAUACUGUAUUUUCUCUCUGAGCACCCCUGAGUGCAUAAAACACAGUCUGAUGAUAUUUUAAGGGAACCUGCACUGGGGACAAACAAAAUAAGAAUGCAGAGAACGGUAAAUGAAGAAUACCUUACGUAGAUCCUGUUUCAAAAUUGCAUACUUGUGUCACCUAUAUUUAAAAAGUGAGAUGCCUUUGUUGAACACAGUGGAGCAGUGCUGUUGGAUUUCAGGCACCCUGGCUUCAAAGUCUCUCUUUUUGAAGCGGACCAUCUCAGUAUUGAGGGGUCUUGAAAUUUGGUACAUACCUGGUGGUGGAAAGCAAGAAACAAGUCAUCCAAAGUAGCUUGUACAGCUGUUUAGGAGCUUCUCAAAGUACAUUGUACAUUCUUGCUUUAGACCACGGACCACCAAAUGCCCUCGUACUUGCUAUUGUAAAGUUGGCAGGCCAUUAGGGACUUCUGUAAGUAUCUAAAAUAUCCUUCACCCAACACAAAAAAAACAUUGGGGCCCGUCAAAAAUACACUAUAACUGAAGUAAUAGCAAAAAACUCCAGAAAGUGAACUGUCCCUUUAAUUUAGGUUGUAAGAUUAUGCACAUGUGAAGUUGGAGGCAAACCCAAUCUAAAAAAAAUCCAUACUCGUAUAUACACAGUAUAUGUAUGUCUGAUCCUCAACCAUUACAAAACAUUACAAGUUUUGUAUUUUCUACUCAUUUUAAUUUAAAUUAAAUUUUGUAUUGCUGUUUUUGUUUUUAUUGUUUUUAUUUUUAUGGUGGAUAUUUGGUUAAUUUGAGGGUGUAUUGGCCAAUGAGAUCAUAGAUCAUGAGGAUGUGGGGUAAUUCGAAUCACUUGUGUAUUACUGCUAGUGUUAGUAUUAAAAUCAAUUGAAUAUGAAUUGCUGAUAUGUAUCACUGUUGAAAUAUCAAAGAUAAAUGAAAGAUGUCAUCAUGUAAAGGAAAUUGUUGAUUGAGCUUUGGGUGCCCCCUACUGUAAUGCAUGCUGACACUUGUGUGUGCCACCACACCUUAAUAAACCCUGAAAAUAAAGACAAUGUAUUAUGUCCCGGGCAAAGGCAUGAGCUCGAUCUUUGGGCAUUUUUCGCUUUCAUGCUGUUAAGAUAAAUACAAAAAAAUGUGUUGUGCAUUUUUAGUAGGUUAUAACCAGCACCAUUACAGCAGUCCUUUUUGUGUAGACACGUAUAUAUUUUGAUAUGAUGAUAUGGGUAGGAACACAUUUGAAAUGAUACGUUAAGACUACCUUCAAACAGAAGAAUGGCAAAAGUUUGUAAUUGGAUGAAAAAAAUGGCCACUGGAUUUCUUCGGUUCUUCAUAUUAAAGAAUAAUAGUGAAAUUGGGCUGCAGGUAGCUGUUCUGAGGUUUAAGACAUCAGUGCAUGUUCCACUGUAAUUCUACAAUAUCCGUGUAACAGAAAUUGAACAUUGCACUGGCUGACUUGACUCUGGUAUUGUUGUUUGCAGUUAUAUUUCAAAUUGUGCUUGAAUCUGUCAUUAGUGGUGAUUUGACUUUCAAAGCUAGAUCUAAUUUUCAUAUAUAUUUAGUAUUUAAACUCUGAACUUUGCACCUGAUGCAGACUACUAAUAAUAAUUAUAGCAAUAAUUGAUGCAUAUAAAUGUACUCGUCCUCUGCUGAACAGCUGAAUUUAUUUAAGUAAAUGGAAUAAAAUAAGUUACCUUACUUAAAGAAGAACUUACUUGAGCAGAGCACUAGAAUGUUUUUAUUUCAAUGCCAGUUUUUAUUUCAUAUAAUUGGAUGAGUUUACAGAGAAAUUGUGCUUUACUCUCCUGCCUACAAUUGAGCCUCGAAGUGUUUUUCAUUUCACAGUUGCAUUCAUAAUCCUCACACAGAGAAUGAAGAAAACACUUGAGUGCUCGUCUAGAUGUUCAGCUGUGGGAUUAAAGGUUUUACUACCCAUUUCCACUUGUGAAACUUGAAUUGACUAAGUGUAAGAUUAAUUGUUAGCAGUUUGUCUUUUGAGAAAAAUGUUUUUUCGUCGCUUCUUUGUGUAAACUGACAGAUAUUUGACCUUUUUUUUAUUUAAAACUUUGCAUUUGUGACUUUUUUGGAAUCAAAAGGAGCCUCUGCGUGCCAUACCACCCACACAAAUGGUCUGCUGGAGAAAACUGCACUAUCAACUGACAGUGUCAGCCUCAUCAAUAUGCAAUAUAUUUUCUUACAUGUUAUAUGCAGAAAUGUAUUGAUUGUUUUUUCAUAUCAAUUGUUUUAAAUAUACUUUACU